AUUGAACGCUGGCGGCAGGCUUAACACAUGCAAGUCGAGCGAGCGGGGGACGGGUGAGUAAUGUCUGGGAAACUGCAUGAUGGAGGGGGAUAACUACUGGAAACGGUAGCUAAUACCGCAUAGCAUCAGAUGUGCCCAGAUGGGAUUAGCUAGUAGGUGGGGUAAUCGCUCACCUAGGCGACGAGCCCUAGCGGGUCUUAGAGGAUGACCAGCUGCAAUGGAACUGAGACACGGUCCAGAUUCUUACGGGAGGCAGCAGGGGGGAAUAUUUGACAAUGGUCGCAAGCCUCAUGCAGUCAUGCCGCGUGUUUGAAGAAGGGCUUCGGGUUGUAAAGCACUUUCAGCGGGGAGGCGUUACUCGCAGAAGAAGCACCGGCUAACUUCGUGCCAGCAGCCGCGGUAAUUC
rnacentral:rRNA from 1 species